rnacentral:rRNA from 1 species
CAGUAGCCACGGUAAUACAGAGGGUGCAAGCGUUAAUCGGAAUUACUGGGCGUAAAGCGCGCGUAGGUGGUUUGUUAAGUUGGAUGUGAAAGCCCCGGGCUCAACCUGGGAACUGCAUCCAAAACUGGCAAGCUAGAGUACGGUAGAGGGUGGUGGAAUUUCCUGUGUAGCGGUGAAAUGCGUAGAUAUAGGAAGGAACACCAGUGGCGAAGGCGACCACCUGGACUGAUACUGACACUGAGGUGCGAAAGCGUGGGGAGCAAACAGGAUUAGAUACCCCGGUAGUCCCUGUCUCUUAUAC